rnacentral:lncRNA from 1 species
CGUGAUAUUGAAUAGAAAAUUCGAUUUCCCAAGAGUGCAAUGGAACACGUUCCAUUGCACUCUCCGCGAGUGCAAUGGAAUAAAACGUAUAGUACAAAUGCACUCUUUGUGUUUUCGAUAAAUCGCAUCCCUCAAAAUGCUUCUCAUACGAAUCUAUUAGUCUAUUUUGGUAUUAUAUAAAACAAAUAAUGAAUGUUUAUGAGUGCAAUGGUAAGAAUAUUUUCAUGAGGUGAAAGAUGGAAUGUUCCAUUCAA